ensembl:miRNA mdo-mir-125b-1 mdo-mir-125b-1
ACUUUUCCUAGUCCCUGAGACCCUAACUUGUGAGGCUUUUCAGCGACAACCACAGGUCAGGCUCUUGGGACCUAGGCGGAGG